CUCCAGAUAGCCUAGUUGUUAAGGCUAUGGAUCGGCAAUCCGUAGACGGCGGGCUCGAUUCCCGUUCCGGUCG
rfam:Aedes albopictus isolate Foshan contig79998, whole genome shotgun sequence.